rnacentral:rRNA from 1 species
UUUGACCGUGCGAAGGUAGCAUAGUCAGUAGUCUUUUAAUUGAAGGCUUGAAUGAAAGGUUGGACGAGGGAUGAGCUGUCUCCUUUACGUAAUUUGAAUUUAACUUUUGAGUGAAAAGGCUCAAAUUAUUUAGUGGGACGAUAAGACCCUAUAAAACUUUAUAUAAGUUUAAUUUGGCUUACAAUUUGAGUGAAAAGUAGCUUUAUUAGGUUUAUAUUUCGUUGGGGAGAUGUAGAUAUAAUGUGUAACUGUCUGUUUAAUUUAAUAAUUAUAAUUAGUGUGUGAUCCUUCUUUGUGGAUUAAAAGUAUAAGUUACUUUAGGGAUAACAGCGUGAUUUUCUUUGAGAGUUCUUAUCGACAAGAGUAGUUGCGACCUCGAUGUUGAAUUAAAAUUU